GGCAUCAGCCAACAAGUUCCAUAACCAGAACAGCUGUAGUGAUUGUGGCCUAGCUAAUAGCUAGUAAAAAAUGAGUAGGAGCUGGCGAAUUGCUGCUUCAACCAAACCAUAUUCCCCUGAACAAAUUGAGUCUUACAAUAACUUUUUUACAUAUACUUUUAAUUUGAGUUUUGCUUAGUUGCUUUCGUUUACCUCAUGACAGGUGAUGCUGAGACGGUUUUGUCCUCGUAAGACUACUCUACUGUUUGUUAUACGAGAUAAAACAAGGUCACAAUUGAAUGAGGCUAUUUUAAGAGAGGAUUAUGGAGAAGCUGCAAAGCUGAAGUUGGCCAUAACUGGUGCUACAAAAAGGAUAUUGUUGGAGCAGCAUUGACUAUUAUGAAUAGAGCUAUAGAGGAAGAGCGAUACAUCGAUGCAACUUUCAUUC